CGGGUGAGUAACACGUGGGUGAUCUGCCCUGCACUUCGGGAUAAGCCUGGGAAACUGGGUCUAAUACCGGAUAGGACUACGCACUGCAUGGUGUGUGGUGGAAAGCUUUUGCGGUGUGGGAUGGGCCCGCGGCCUAUCAGCUUGUUGGUGGGGUGAUGGCCUACCAAGGCGACGACGGGUAGCCGGCCUGAGAGGGUGUCCGGCCACACUGGGACUGAGAUACGGCCCAG
rnacentral:rRNA from 1 species